GACGAGGUGCCGAGUGGUUAAGGCGAUGGACUGCUAAUCCAUUGGGCUCUGCCGGGGUUGAAUCCCAUCCUUGUCG